AACGAACGCUGGCGGCAGGCUUAACACAUGCAAGUCGAGCGCAUCCUUCGGGGUGGGCGGCAGACGGGUGAGUAACGCGUGGGAAUCUACCUUUUGCUACGGAAUAGCUCCGGGAAACUGGAAUUAAUACCGUAUGUGCCCUUAGGGGGAAAGAUUUAUCGGCAAGAGAUGAGCCCGCGUUGGAUUAGCUAGUUGGUGGGGUAAAGGCCUACCAAGGCGACGAUCCAUAGCUGGUCUGAGAGGAUGAUCAGCCACAUUGGGACUGAGACACGGCCCAAACUCCUACGGGAGGCAGCAGUGGGGAAUAUUGGACAAUGGGCGCAAGCCUGAUCCAGCCAUGCCGCGUGAGUGAUGAAGGCCUUAGGGUUGUAAAGCUCUUUCACCGGAGAAGAUAAUGACGGUAUCCGGAGAAGAAGCCCCGGCUAACUUCGUG
rnacentral:rRNA from 1 species